GACGAACGCUGGCGGCGUGCUUAACACAUGCAAGUCGAACGGAAAGGCCCUGCUUUUGUGGGGUGCUCGAGUGGCGAACGGGUGAGUAACACGUGAGUAACCUGCCCUUGACUUUGGGAUAACUUCAGGAAACUGGGGCUAAUACCGGCUAGGAGCUCCUGCUGCAUGGUGGGGGUUGGAAAGUUUCGGCGGUUGGUGAUGGACUCGCGGCUUAUCAGCUUGUUGGUGGGGUAGUGGCUUACCAAGGCUUUGACGGGUAGCCGGCCUGAGAGGGUGACCGGCCACAUUGGGACUGAGAUACGGCCCAGACUCCUACGGGAGGCAGCAGUGGGGAAUAUUGCACAAUGGGCGGAAGCCUGAUGCAGCAACGCCGCGUGCGGGAUGACGGCCUUCGGGUUGUAAACCGCUUUCGCCUGUGACGAAGCGUGAGUGACGGUAAUGGGUAAAGAAGCACCGGCUAACUACGUG
rnacentral:rRNA from 1 species